rnacentral:rRNA from 1 species
AUUGAACGCUAGCGGGAGGCUUUACACAUGCAAGUCGAACGAGUGGCGGACGGGUGAGUAAUAUAUCGGAAUGUGCCCAGUAGCGGGGGAUAACUACUCGAAAGUGUGGCUAAUACCGCAUACUAUUGGAGCGGCCGAUAUGGGAUUAGCUAGUUGGUGGGGUAAAGGCUCACCAAGGCAACGAUCCGUAGCUGGUUUGAGAGGACGACCAGCCACACUGGGACUGAGACACGGCCCAGACUCCUACGGGAGGCAGCAGUGGGGAAUCUUCGGCAAUGGGCGCAAGUCUGACCGAGCAACGCCGCGUGAGUGAGAAGGUUUUCGGAUCGUAAAGCUCUGUUGUUAGAGAAGCGGUAUCUAACCAAAAAGCAACGGCUAACUACGUGCCAGCAGCCGCGGUAAUAC